rnacentral:lncRNA from 1 species
UCAAUGCACACCUCCGCUGGGGAAAUAGCAAUGUACAGACGUGCUAGGGACAUAACAUUCUCAACCCCGCUGGGGAUUACAACACUUCAGUCCUGGCCGCUGAGGAACAAACUACCCACAGACACCUCCGCUUGGGAAAUAACAAUCUUCAGACUCGCUGGGGAACUGACAGUCCUCAGACAUGCUGGGGAAAGACAUCUUCAACCCUGCUGGGGAUUACAAC